GUUCCUCAACAGAAAGUUGGGGUGCUCUAAACCAAUACGAUGUAAGGACUGGACAAAGAGAGAAAAACAGUCGCCAGGGCUGGGUUGGCUGCAGACUUCUGACAGUCAAGACCUCUUCGGACUCUCUGGCUCUCAACUGUGUUUCUGUGGAGACUGAAAACCUCCAAAAGCCACCUUCUCUCAGCCCAGGCUGGCUGUGUCCUGGAAAGCCCACCAGCACCUUCCAGUCAUGUUUCUGUGACUGGGUCAGGCCCUUUUAGGAAUACUCCCUUCAGCCCUAAGACAGGGGGAGGUGACAGUGCCAGACUGGACCCAGGCUGCCAGGGACAGUGGAGCUCUUCUGUGCUGUGGGACUUGGUCCCAGACCCCAGGGGAAUCUACUGCGGAUACAAAUGCAAGAUCGGUGAAGUUCCACAUGGGCUUCCCUCAAGGCUGAUGGAGUUUCCCAUUCACUAGAAGCAAUGAAGGCUGAAGUUUGAUUCCAGUUUGCAACACAAUGGAUUCUCAAGAGUAAAUGCAUUACCGUGGGUCAACAGCUCAGCUCGGUUCCUGUACCGCUGUCGUGUACCCUGCGAGAGUACCUUGCAAGAGAGAUCCUGCAAGCUGUGCGUCUAACACCAUGUCAAGACCUUUCAAUGAAUCCCUUUAGCUUUCUGGUGAAGUUCUAAACUCAACUAAGCAUACAGUUCCCAUCUUCCUCUCCAGUUUGCUUUCUGCCUCUCUUCCUCAUAGAGUCCAACUAUACUGAAACUCAUCCUCUCCCGGGCUACAGUGGGCUAAGUCAGGACCUCUUUGACGUUUACUAUACUCUAAAUACCUUUCCUCUUGCUUCUAUUGGAUGCCAGCUUUAGCAUCCUUUACUCCCCUAGAUUGUUAGUACUCUGUGUCCUCAACACACCAGGUUCCCCCUCUUAGCGCCUGUCACAUGCAAUUGAAAUUGCUGGGUACCAGUCUGUCUCCUAGAUAAUGUGGCUGCUGGAGCCUUGUGACUCCUGAGGGCGUCUCGUGCUGGAGAUGACCUACAAGUAAAUCUCUCAUAGCAACUUUUGCCCAAGGAAUGGAAAAGAAAGGAACUGUCUAUGUGGGAGGAGAGGAAGAGACACAGAAACUGCAGUGCUUCUUGGCUGAGUUGAGAUUUAAUUUAGUGAUAGACAGCCACAAAUCCCCCACCCCACUCACCCAUAGGUGCCCUCACACACAGCUUUCCACACCACCCGUUGCCCAGUUUCCCAUUGGUUUUUUUUUUCUUCCUUUUAGAUGAGAGUAACGGGUUUGGCCUGUGUCUCACAGUCCUUAGAAGUGAAAGUAGACCGGGAGGCAGGUCAGUUCUCCGAGAGGAUUUCCUUGCUGUGCACCCCGCUCGCCACCCUGCACCAGUCCUGUCCCCGUGACCCAGGUUUAGCAUGCAUCAGUGAAAUGUCCUCCAAUCUGAGCUGAUCUUUCUGCUAAUACAAAGUGGCAGCUUUUAAAUAGAGUAGCCUCCAAUUGUCACUUCCAAUCACAGGCUCUGCUGAGGGAGACUUAGAAAGACUUAAUCGUCUUAAGAAAACAAACAGAGGCCUUCCUGCUGAAGAGCAGCAUGCCCACAGAUAGACAGAUAGACAGACAGGAGACAGGACCAAAGCUGGCAUGCCCAAGAUCCUUCCUGUAAUCCACCCCUCACUACCCCAGCACUCACAGACCAGGUCCCGGCGAGUAAAACCGACAACUCGACACGUCCCUCAUCCUUUCCAAUUAGCUUCUCCUCCUGCUCUCUCCCUCUUGCUGUCUGUCUCCCUGUGUGCGUCUGGACCUUUUAAAGGCAUGAGGUAUCUGCUGCUAAUCCCUAAACAACUCUUCCUCCUCAUCUCAGCUGACCUCAGACCAUUAAAAUUUAGAAUGUGACAGAUGAAGAGAGAAGCCCAGUCUAAUAUCUUCAUUUUGUAAGAGUGGGAGGAAGUCCAGCAGGGGAGAUAGAGUCAUUUGCAAACGGACUCCUAGGCUGGAGCCGAACCCAGAUCUCCUGAUUCCGAUCCCAGGUCUCUUCUGCUAUGCCAGUGCUCUCCAACUGCCUACCCACCUGCAUCUCUGCCGCCUGCGUAUGUGUGUCUAUAUUGUGUAUGCAUGCACACAUGCGUGUAUGUA